GUGCCAGCCGCCGCGGUAAGACGAACCGUGCAAACGUUGUUCGGAAUCACUGGGCUUAAAGGGCGCGUAGGCGGGGCAGCAAGUCUGUGGUGAAAUCUGUCGGCUCAACCGACAAACGGCCGUGGAUACUGCUGUUCUCGAGGGGUGUAGGGGCAUGCGGAACUUCCGGUGGAGCGGUGAAAUGCGUAGAUAUCGGAAGGAACGCCGGUGGCGAAAGCGAUCCGCUGGACCCUUUCUGACGCUGAGGCGCGAAAGCCAGGGGAGCAAACGGGAUUAGAUACCCCAGUAGUCC
rnacentral:rRNA from 1 species